GGGAGGGAAGAAAGGCUAGACGUAAAGAAAAAGAUAUAUAAAAGAACAGAAAUAUAGGAGAAGGAAGAGACAGAGCCCCACCCGCGCGUCACGAACUCCGAUGAGCAAAUGGCCCCGCCGCGCUCGCUCCGCCGUUUAAAUACCCCUCAGCCCCGCCCCCGCGCAUGCGCUCUGGGGCCCCGCGCACCUGUGCAGGCCCCGCCCCGCGCACCUGUGCAGGCCCCGCCCCCGGGCCCGCCCCGCCCGCGCCCUUCAAGUGCGGCCGAUCCGCUCCCGGCCCGCUCCAUUCGGGAACACUCGUGCUGGGAUGCGGCGGGAUCCUCGUCGGAGCGCUGUGCCAGGGACAGCUCCUGGUUCUGCGCGAAUCCUGGGGCGCUCAGGGUAUACUGGGAUUGAGAGGGUUCCUAAAAUCCAACUCUCAAGGACACAGCCCGUGGGAGAAUUGAACUCACAACCUUGGCACUACCUGGACUGUGCUCCGACUGACUGAGCCCUCUGCAUCACAGCUGCGGGGAACGGGGGGCAGGAGGAGGCCAGGAGUCCCUGAAAGGCAUCCAGCACCUCUUGUCCAUGGGCCCUCGGGGCAGGGGCUGUGCCUGCAGCGUCCUGCCCGUGCCGAGCGCACGGCCCGGGAUGGGCGCUGGGUGCCCGGCCGGCGCUGGCACGGACACGGCUCAAGGGCUGCCCGUGGCUCCCGGGCCAGGGGCUGCUCUGAGCAGGCUCCUGGAGAUGCUUCAGCCUGGAUACAGGCCACUAGCAGCCCAGGGAGCAGCUGGCGUGUCCUGGUGAUGGUGGCACGGGCUGCGUGCAGAGGGGCUCAGACAGCAAUUCCUGGUUCCAGCCUCCCAGAGCUCCCAGGCAGCUGCCAGCUAUUAAAUGCCAACCGACAGCCUGCAGAGAUGCCUUCAAAUCAAAGGUUCAGGUGGGAUGAAGUUUUGUUUGGACGAAGGCGGGAGUUUCCAGGGAGCCAGCUGGAAGUGCAGAAGGGAUGGAAAGCUUUCCCAGGUGCUGGACUUGCCUCUGUGGAUGUGCACUGAGCUCUCACUGCAGGGGACUGUCAGGCCUGACUGGCUCAUUUACUACACCAUACCCUAGGCCUCUUCAGAGACAGAAACCCCAGCCAUUGUAAUUAUUGCAAAGAUAUUGAGAAGCAGGGGGACAACUGCACCAAGGCAUCCAUUUUCCCCUUCUAAGAACACACCUGCAAAUACUCCUGGAAGUCAGGGUAAGGUACAUGCACCAUCUAGUAGGUGUGAAAGUAUUUGCAAAAGAAAGACAAACUAAAAUAAAUGUUCCUUUACUAUUUAUAAAACUAAUUACUUUUUGAAAAAAUAAAGAAAUAACAAAAACAACCUUGAGAGAUUCACAGAACCACAGAUUGUUAAAAUAAAAAACACAAGAGAGAUGAAGCAAAGUGCUUUGGGAUCAUGUUCAUACCUGUGUUUUUCUGUAGAGUACUUAGAAGAAAAAGGAGUUAUUUCAUUUUCAGUUUUCAGCAAAAGUCACUAACUGGAAUAAAUACUUGAUGAAACAGGGCAGGAUAUUCAACAGCAGCUAAGUGCCCAGCAGUUCAAGGUGCUUCACUUUGCCUUACUGAAUGUCUCAAUGUCACCCUGAAAGAAAAUUGAAAACCUUAAUUCAGCUUAUAUUUAGCAAAGAAAAUGUACAGACUAAUUCAGAAAUAUUUUUUAUGUAAUUUAUAUUAUCAGAUGUCCUGUAAAGCACUUGUGUUCUGACCAGGCUGUUAACAUCUGUAACUUUAUUUGUUCUUCUGUUUCCUUUUGACAUGGCUGUAAUUCAUCAAUAUUUUUCCUUUGACUAACUGAAAUAGAGCAUCAAUAUUAGGAUGUGACUAAAAGGAAAUUGAGCAGGAUGCAAAGGUUAAAACCAGAAUAAAACAACUUAAACCAAA